rnacentral:rRNA from 1 species
UACGUAGGUGGCAAGCGUUGUCCGGAAUUAUUGGGCGUAAAGCGCGCGCAGGUGGUUUCUUAAGUCUGAUGUGAAAGCCCACGGCUCAACCGUGGAGGGUCAUUGGAAACUGGGGAACUUGAGUGCAGAAGAGGAAAGUGGAAUUCCAAGUGUAGCGGUGGAAUGCGCAGAUAUCAGGAGGAACACCAAUAGCGAAGGCAGCUCGCUGGGACGUAACCGACACUGAGGCGCGAAAGCGUGGGGAGCGAACAGG